rnacentral:rRNA from 1 species
AGAGUUUGAUCCUGGCUUAGGACGAACGCUGGCGGCGUGCCUAACACAUGCAAGUCGAGCGAGGAGAUUCCUUCGGGAUGAUCCUAGCGGCGGACGGGUGAGUAACACGUGGGCAACCUGCCUCAUAGAGAGGAAUAGCCUUCCGAAAGGGAGAUUAAUACCUCAUAACAUUGCAGUUUCGCAUGGAACAGCAAUUAAAGGAGCAAUCCGCUAUGAGAGUCGGGCCCGCGGCGCAUUAGCCAGUUGGUGAGGUAACGGCUCACCAAGGCGACGAUGCGUAGCCGACCUGAGAGGGUGAUCGGCCACAGUUGGGACUGAGACACCGGCCCAGACUCCGUACGGGAGGCAGCAGGUGGGGAAUAUUGCACAAGUGGGGGAAACCCUGAUGCCAGCAACGCCGCGUGAGUGAUGACGGCCUUCGGGUUGUAAAGCUCUGUCUUCAGGGACGAUAAUGACGGUACCUGAGGAGGAAGCCACGGCUAACUACGUGCCAGCCGCCGC